UACGGGAGGCAGCAGUGGGGAAUAUUGGGCAAUGGGGGAAACCCUGACCCAGCGACGCCGCGUGAGGGAAGAAGGUUUUCGGAUUGUAAACCUCUGUCUUCGGGGACGAUAAUGACGGUACCCGAGGAGGAAGCUACGGCUAAUUACGUGCCAGCAGCCGCGGUAAU
rnacentral:rRNA from 1 species